UAGGGGAAUCUUCCACAAUGGACGCAAGUCUGAUGGAGCAACGCCGCGUGAGUGAAGAAGGUUUUCGGACCGUAAAGCUCUGUUGUUGGUGAAGAAGGAUAGAGGUAGUAACUGGCCUUUAUUUGACGGUAAUCAACCAGAAAGUCACGGCUAACUACGUGCCAGCAGCCGCGGUAAUACGUAGGUGGCAAGCGUUGUCCGGAUUUAUUGGGCGUAAAGCGAGCGCAGGCGGAAGAAUAAGUCUGAUGUGAAAGCCCUCGGCUUAACCGAGGAAUUGCAUCGGAAACUGUUUUCUUGAGUGCAGAAGAGGAGAGUAGAACUCCACGUGUAGCGGUGGAAUGCGUAGAUAUAUGGAAGAAUACCAGUGGCGAAGGCGGCUCUCUGGUCUGCAACUGACGCUGAGGCUCGAAAAGCAUGGGUAGCGAACAGGAUUAGAUACCCUGGUAGUCCAUGCCGUAAACGAUGAGUGCUAAGUGUUGGGAGGCUUCCGCCUCUCAGUGCUGCAGCUAACGCAUUAAGCACUCCGCCUGGGGAGUACGACCGCAAGGUUGAAAC
rnacentral:rRNA from 1 species